AGUGAACGCUGGCGGUAGGCCUAACACAUGCAAGUCGAACGGCAGCACAGUAAGAGCUUGCUCUUACGGGUGGCGAGUGGCGGACGGGUGAGGAAUACAUCGGAAUCUACUUUUUCGUGGGGGAUAACGUAGGGAAACUUACGCUAAUACCGCAUACGACCUACGGGUGAAAGCAGGGGAUCUUCGGACCUUGCGCGAUUGAAUGAGCCGAUGUCGGAUUAGCUAGUUGGCGGGGUAAAGGCCCACCAAGGCGACGAUCCGUAGCUGGUCUGAGAGGAUGAUCAGCCACACUGGAACUGAGGCACGGUCCAGACUCCUACGGGAGGCAGCAGUGGGGAAUAUUGGACAAUGGGCGCAAGCCUGAUCCAGCCAUACCGCGUGGGUGAAGAAGGCUUUCGGGUUGUAAAGCCCUUUUGUUGGGAAAGAAAAGCAGCAGGUUAAUACCCCGCUGUUCUGACGGUACCCAAAGAAUAAGCACCGGCUAACUUCGUG
rnacentral:rRNA from 1 species